rnacentral:rRNA from 1 species
GAUGAACGCUGGCGGCGUGCCUAAUACAUGCAAGUCGAGCGAACGGACGAGAAGCUUGCCUCUCUGAUGUUAGCGGCGGACGGGUGAGUAACACGUGGAUAACCUACCUAUAAGACUGGGAUAACUUCUGGAAACCGUAGCUAAUACCGGAUAAUAUUUUGAACCGCAUGGUUCAAAAGUGAAAGACGGUCUUGCUGUCACUUAUAGAUGUAUCCGCGCUGCAUUAGCUAGUUGGUAAGGUAACGGCUUACCAAGGCAACGAUGCAUAGCCGACCUGAGAGGGUGAUCGGCCACACUGGAACUGAGACACGGUCCAGACUCCUACGGGAGGCAGCAGUAGGGAAUCUUCCGCAAUGGGCGAAAGCCUGACGGAGCAACGCCGCGUGAGUGAUGAAGGUCUUCGGAUCGUAAAACUCUGUUAUUAGGGAAGAACAUAUGUGUAAGUAACUGUGCACAUCUUGACGGUACCUAAUCAGAAAGCCACGGCUAACUACGUG